AAUGAACGCUGGCGGCAGGCCUAACACAUGCAAGUCGAACGUAUCCUUCGGGAUUAGUGGCGGACGGGUGAGUAACGCGUGGGAACAUACCCUUUGGUACGGAAUAGCCUCGGGAAACUGGGAGUAAUACCGUAUGUGGUCGAGAGACGAAAGAUUUAUCGCCAAAGGAUUGGCCCGCGUUGGAUUAGGUAGUUGGUGGGGUAAUGGCCUACCAAGCCGACGAUCCAUAGCUGGUUUGAGAGGAUGAUCAGCCACACUGGGACUGUGACACGGCCCAGACUCCUACGGGAGGCAGCAGUGGGGAAUCUUAGACAAUGGGGGAAACCCUGAUCUAGCCAUGCCGCGUGAUCGAUGAAGGCCUUAGGGUUGUAAAGAUCUUUCAGGUGGGAAGAUAAUGACUGUACCACCAGAAGAAGCCCCGGCUAACUCCGUGCCAGCCGCCGCAGUAA
rnacentral:rRNA from 1 species